AUGGAACUUCAGGGCAGGGUGUGAUUCCCUACCGGUGGUAAAGCCCACGAGCCGAGGCGUAAGCCAGAGCAUGAUUCGGUGUAAUUCCGAAGCCGACAGUAAAGUCUGGAUGAAAGAAGUGAUAU
rfam:[Eubacterium] eligens ATCC 27750 plasmid unnamed, complete sequence.